GAACCGUACGAACGUUAUUCGGAAUCACUGGGCUUAAAGGGUGCGUAGGCGGCUUUGCAAGUUGGGUGUGAAAUCCCUCGGCUCAACCGAGGAACUGCGCUCAAAACUGCAAGGCUUGAGGGAGAUAGAGGUGAGCGGAACUAAUGGUGGAGCGGUGAAAUGCGUUGAUAUCAUUAGGAACACCGGUGGCGAAGGCGGCUCACUGGGUCUCUUCCGACGCUGAGGCACGAAAGCUAGGGUAGCGAACGGGGGAUUAGAUACCCCGGUAGUCCUAGCUGUAAACGAUGAGCACUGGAUCGAGGGCCCCUUCCACAGGCUCUCGGUCGUAGCGAAAGUGUUAAGUGCUCCGCCUGGGGAGUAUGGUCGCAAGGCUG
rnacentral:rRNA from 1 species